rnacentral:misc_RNA from 1 species
GAUGAAGAACGCAGCGAAAUGCGAUACUUGGUGUGAAUUGCAGAAUCCCGUGAACCAUCGAGUCUUUGAACGCAAGUUGCGCCUCAAGCCAUUAGGUUGAGGGCACGUCUGCCUGGGCGUCACAUAUCGUUGCCUGAUGCCAGUUUCCUCGUGAUGGGUGACUGUGCAGGGCGAAUGAUGGCUUCCCGUGAGCAUUGUUGCCUCAUGGUUGGUUGAAAAUUGAGUCCUUCGUAGGGAGCGCCGUGAUAGAUGGUGGUUGAGUGACGAACGAGACCCAAUCAUGUGAGACCCCUACCGAAUUUGGCCUUCAUGACCCACAUGCGUCUUUGGAACGCUCAUGACGAGACCUCAGGUCAGGCGGGGCUACCCGCUGAGUUUAAGCAUAUCAAUAAGCGGAGGA